rnacentral:snRNA from 1 species
GUGCUCACUUCAGCAACACAUAUACUAAGAUUGGAACUGUACGUAGAAGAUUAACAUGGCCCUGUGUAAGGAUUACACACAGGAUUCUUUUUAUUUAUUUAUUUUU